rnacentral:rRNA from 1 species
GUGUCAGCCGCCGCGGUAAGACGAAGGAUGCAAGCGUUAUCCGGAUUCAUUGGGUUUAAAGGGUGCGUAGGCGGACUGAUAAGUCAGUGGUGAAAUCUCUCGGCUUAACCGAGAAACUGCCAUUGAUACUGUCAGUCUAGAGUAUAGAUGACGUUGGCGGAAUAUGACAUGUAGUGGUGAAAUACUUAGAUAUGUCAUAGAACACCGAUUGCGAAGGCAGCUAACGAAACUAUAACUGACGCUGAGGCACGAAAGUGCGGGGAUCAAACAGGAUUAGAUACCCUCGUAGUCC